AUUGAACGCUGGCGGUAUGCUUAACACAUGCAAGUCGAACGGUAGCAGGCUUUCGGGCGCUGACGAGUGGCGGACGGGUGAGUAACGCGUAGGAAUCUGCCUCAUAGUGGGGGACAACGUGGGGAAACCCACGCUAAUACCGCAUACGCCCUACGGGGGAAAGCGGGGGUUCUUUGGACCUCGCGCUAUGAGAUGAGCCUGCGUUAGAUUAGCUAGUUGGUAGGGUAAAGGCCUACCAAGGCGACGAUUUAUAGCUGGUCUGAGAGGACGAUCAGCCACACUGGGACUGAGAUACGGCCCAGACUCCUACGGGAGGCAGCAGUGGGGAAUAUUGGACAAUGGGCGCAAGCCUGAUCCAGCAAUACCGCGUGUGUGAAGAAGGCCCUAGGGUUGUAAAGCACUUUCAAUGGGGAGGAAAACCUGCCGGUCAAUACCCGGUAGCUUGACAUUACCUUUAGAAGAAGCACCGGCUAACUCCGUGCCAGCAGCCGCGGUAAUACGGAGGGUGCGAGCGUUAAUCGGAAUUACUGGGCGUAAAGCGUGCGUAGGCGGUUCGUUAAGUCAGAUGUGAAAGCCCUGGGCUCAACCUGGGAACUGCAUUUGAAACUGGCGUAUUAGAGUUGAGUAGAGGGGAGUGGAAUUUCAGGUGUAGCGGUGAAAUGCGUAGAUAUCUGAAGGAACACCAGUGGCGAAGGCGACUCCCUGGACUCAAACUGACGCUGAGGUACGAAAGCGUGGGUAGCAAACAGGAUUAGAUACCCUGGUAGUCCACGCUGUAAACGAUGUCAACUAGCCGUUGGUCCUAUUUACAGGAUUAGUGGCGCAGCUAACGCAUUAAGUUGACCGCCUGGGGAGUACGGCCGCAAGGUUA
rnacentral:rRNA from 1 species